AUGUCAAAAAAAUAUAAUGAAAAGCUACUUUCUGGCAUUCAAAAUCAGUCUAAACCAGUGAACUCAAAAUUCGGUUCAUAUAUCCUUAAAAAAUAUGGAUGGAAAGAAGGUAAAGGGUUAGGAAAACUUGAAAAUGGUGACUUGGAUGCUAUGAAAAUUAAAAAAUAUGGAGAAUGUGGACUUGGAUAUAAGGAAGAGGAAGAAAGUAGCAGUAACGCAAUGUGGUGGGAAAACGUGUACAAUGAUUGCGCAAAAAAAAUAAAGCAAGCUAAUAAUACCAACAAAGAUAAUAAUAAACAAAACAAAGAAGUUAAUAGUAAUGGACAAAAUGGGGAAUACAAUAAAAACACAGCAUAUUCCAUUUUUGUUAAAAAAAACCAAAACAAUAUUAAUAAUACAAGUCAUGAAAAAUGCAAAUAUAGUCAAACCAAAGAAAUAAAUAAAAAAAAUGAUACUUAUAAUAAGGAAAAAGAAACAAAAAUAGAAAAAAAAAAAUUAAAAAAAAAAAAUAUAAUAAGGAUAAACACGUUAAUAAUGGAAACACAAGUAAAAAAUGAUGAUAGCCGUGUUUUGAAAGAAUUAUACAAAAGAGAAAAAAAAAUAAGAGAAGUUUUGAAGGGCAGGCAGAUA
rnacentral:lncRNA from 1 species